rnacentral:lncRNA from 1 species
ACAUAUAUAUACUAAAAUAAAUAAAUAAAUAAAUAAAAAUAAAAACCUACACUCCCCAAUCGACUUAAACUCGUCCAGUUAAAUUCCCUUCAAUUUCUCCAAUUUUUAUCAUCUUCAUAUCCACACUUAAUCCUCAUCCUAAUCCCCUUGAUUUUAGCCAACAAUUCCAAUUUGAAUUGCAUUCAAAUUUCUUCCAGCAAAUAACAAUCCUUCCCUACGUUGAAAAGAAAAAUUAAAC